rnacentral:rRNA from 1 species
UACGAAGGGUGCAAGCGUUAAUCGGAAUUACUGGGCGUAAAGCGUGCGUAGGCGGUGAUUUAAGUCUGCUGUGAAAUCCCCGGGCUCAACCUGGGAAUGGCAGUGGAUACUGGAUCGCUAGAGUGUGUCAGAGGAUGGUGGAAUUCCGGGUGUAGUGGUGAAAUGCGUAGAGAUCCGGAGGAACACCAGUGGCGAAGGCGACACGCUGGGCCGUACCUGACGCUAAAGCGCGACAGCAUGGGGAGCAAACGGG